CCUUUGUUGUGUACCAAUGGUCGUCUCUUGUUGCCAUCACCUCGAGAGACACCGUUAGUGCGCUACAAAGG